rnacentral:rRNA from 1 species
UUAAGCGACUAAGCGUACACGGUGGAUGCCCUGGCAGUCAGAGGCGAUGAAGGACGUGCUAAUCUGCGAAAAGCGUCGGUAAGGUGAUAUGAACCGUUAUAACCGGCGAUGUCCGAAUGGGGAAACCCAGUGUGAUUCGUCACACUAUCGUUAACUGAAUACAUAGGUUAACGAGGCGAACCGGGGGAACUGAAACAUCUAAGUACCCCGAGGAAAAGAAAUCAACCGAGAUUCCCCCAGUAGCGGCGAGCGAACGGGGAGCAGCCCAGAGUCUGAAUCAGCUUGUGUGUUAGUGGAACGGUCUGGAAAGUCCGACGGUACAGGGUGAUAGUCCCGUACACCAAAAUGCACAGGCUGUGAACUCGAAGAGUAGGGCGGGACACGUGGUAUCCUGUCUGAAUAUGGGGGGACCAUCCUCCAAGGCUAAAUACUCCUGACUGACCGAUAGUGAACCAGUACCGUGAGGGAAAGGCGAAAAGAACCCCGGCGAGGGGAGUGAAAAAGAACCUGAAACCGUGUACGUACAAGCAGUGGGAGCACCUUCGGGUGUGACUGCGUACCUUUUGUAUAAUGGGUCAGCGACUUAUAUUCUGUAGCAAGGUUAACCGUAUAGGGGAGCCGCAGGGAAACCGAGUCUUAACUGGGCGUUAAGUUGCAGGGUAUAGACCCGAAACCCGGUGAUCUAGCCAUGGGCAGGUUGAAGGUUGGGUAACACUAACUGGAGGACCGAACCGACUAAUGUUGAAAAAUUAGCGGAUGACUUGUGGCUGGGGGUGAAAGGCCAAUCAAACCGGGAGAUAGCUGGUUCUCCCCGAAAGCUAUUUAGGUAGCGCCUCGUGAAYUCAUCUUCGGGGGUAGAGCACUGUUUCGGCUAGGGGGUCAUCCCGACUUACCAACCCGAUGCAAACUACGAAUACCGAAGAAUGUUAUCACGGGAGACACACGGCGGGUGCUAACGUCCGUCGUGAAGAGGGAAACAACCCAGACCGCCAGCUAAGGUCCCAAAGUCAUGGUUAAGUGGGAAACGAUGUGGGAAGGCACAGACAGCCAGGAUGUUGGCUUAGAAGCAGCCAUCAUUUAAAGAAAGCGUAAUAGCUCACUGGUCGAGUCGGCCUGCGCGGAAGAUGUAACGGGGCUAAACCAUGCACCGAAGCUGCGGCAGCGACACUAUGUGUUGUUGGGUAGGGGAGCGUUCUGUAAGCCUGCGAAGGUGWSCUGUGAGGSWUGCUGGAGGUAUCAGAAGUGCGAAUGCUGACAUAAGUAACGAUAAAGCGGGUGAAAAGCCCGCUCGCCGGAAGACCAAGGGUUCCUGUCCAACGUUAAUCGGGGCAGGGUGAGUCGACCCCUAAGGCGAGGCCGAAAGGCGUAGUCGAUGGGAAACAGGUUAAUAUUCCUGUACUUGGUGUUACUGCGAAGGGGGGACGGAGAAGGCUAUGUUAGCCGGGCGACGGUUGUCCCGGUUUAAGCAUGUAGGCUGRUURUCCAGGCAAAUCCGGAUAAUCAAGGCUGAGGUGUGAUGACGAGGCACUACGGUGCUGAAGUAACAAAUGCCCUGCUUCCAGGAAAAGCCUCUAAGCAUCAGGUAACAUYAAAUCGUACCCCAAACCGACACAGGUGGUCAGGUAGAGAAUACCAAGGCGCUUGAGAGAACUCGGGUGAAGGAACUAGGCAAAAUGGUGCCGUAACUUCGGGAGAAGGCACGCUGGUGUGUAGGUGAAGYCCCUGCGGRUGGAGCUGAGACCAGUCGAAGAUACCAGCUGGCUGCAACUGUUUAUUAAAAACACAGCACUGUGCAAACACGAAAGUGGACGUAUACGGUGUGACGCCUGCCCGGUGCCGGAAGGUUAAUUGAUGGGGUUAUCCGUAAGGAGAAGCUCUUGAUCGAAGCCCCGGUAAACGGCGGCCGUAACUAUAACGGUCCUAAGGUAGCGAAAUUCCUUGUCGGGUAAGUUCCGACCUGCACGAAUGGCGUAAUGAUGGCCAGGCUGUCUCCACCCGAGACUCAGUGAAAUUGAACUCGCUGUGAAGAUGCAGUGUACCCGCGGCAAGACGGAAAGACCCCGUGAACCUUUACUAUAGCUUGACACUGAACAUUGAGCCUUGAUGUGUAGGAUAGGUGGGAGGCUUUGAAGCGUGGACGCCAGUCUGCGUGGAGCCAACCUUGAAAUACCACCCUUUAAUGUUUGAUGUUCUAACGUUGGCCCCUKACCGGGGUUGCGGACAGUGUCUGGUGGGUAGUUUGACUGGGGCGGUCUCCUCCCAAAGCGUAACGGAGGAGCACGAAGGUUAGCUAAUCCUGGUCGGACAUCAGGAGGUUAGUGCAAUGGCAUAAGCUAGCUUGACUGCGAGCGUGACGGCGCGAGCAGGUGCGAAAGCAGGUCAUAGUGAUCCGGUGGUUCUGAAUGGAAGGGCCAUCGCUCAACGGAUAAAAGGUACUCCGGGGAUAACAGGCUGAUACCGCCCAAGAGUUCAUAUCGACGGCGGUGUUUGGCACCUCGAUGUCGGCUCAUCACAUCCUGGGGCUGAAGUAGGUCCCAAGGGUAUGGCUGUUCGCCAUUUAAAGUGGUACGCGAGCUGGGUUUAGAACGUCGUGAGACAGUUCGGUCCCUAUCUGCCGUGGGCGCUGGAGAAUUGAGGGGGGCUGCUCCUAGUACGAGAGGACCGGAGUGGACGCAUCACUGGUGUUCGGGUUGUCAUGCCAAUGGCACUGCCCGGUAGCUAAAUGCGGAAGAGAUAAGUGCUGAAAGCAUCUAAGCACGAAACUUGCCCCGAGAUGAGUUCUCCCUGAGACUUUAAGUCUCCUGAAGGAACGUURAAGACGAYGACGUUGAUAGGCCGGGUGUGUAAGCGCAGCGAUGCGUUGAGCUAACCGGUACUAAUGAACCGUGAGGCUUAACCU